UGCUACGGUUUGCUACGGUUUUUCAUUAUCACUUUUUCCUUAUCGAUCCUCGCCCUAGAGCCUUUUUCCUAAGUGAUACGGCGUGAUUCGACAAGGACAUCGGUUCCGAUGAGUGAUAAGCUAAUAUAUUGUUAAAAAAGUACAUUCGUUAUUUAAAACGAAAUUGACAUCUUCUUACAUUCUAUUAAUAAAAGAUGUUUUUGCACUAAACAAUAAGUCGUCGUAGACUAAAGGAUAAAAUGCCCCAUAUACUCGUAUCGAGCGAUGCUACUAUCCUAGUGUUCGAAACUCAGUAAAACUAACGCUGCUAUUAAACAGAACAAACCAAAAGAUGAAGAAAAGAAGAUUAUUAUUAAGAAGAUAAGAAAAUUAAUUUAAUUAUAUGGAUAUUAACAUAGACUUGAAAUUCUCAAAUUGAGCCCAGACGAAAACACGGCCCACCUAAUGGUGAAAGGUUAACGUCGCUAGGUAUCAUCAAUGCUGGGAUCGAAGCCAAAGCCCUGCCCACAGAUACAUCCGCGCUUUAAUGCUGAAAUUUAUUAAGGCAUGUUAUAUUUGGGUGAGCUCUUCAACUAAAGAUCACAAUAAUAUUCUGUAUUGUACGGUACGGUAGUAUGUGUAAGUAAGCUCGCUCGGAUAGGUACUACAAUCUAGCAAUCAAAGCAAAUCAAAUCGGAAAGCAUGAUUGCUUUUCGAUUUGAAAGAACCACGCAUCUUAAGGCGAGUAGUGGCAUUCAAAUUAUGACAUUGUGAUAUGUUAAAGUUCUAAGAAAGAAAUAAAAUAACUGUUAUGAAAAAUA